UACGUAGGGCGCAAGCGUUGUGACCGGAAUUAUUGGGCGUAAAGAGCUCGUAGGCGGUUUGAUCGCGGUCUGCUGUGAAAACCUAAGGCUCAACCUUGGGCUUGCAGUGGGUACGGGCAGACUGAGAGUGCGGUAGGGGUGACAUGGAAUUCCUGGUGUAGCGGUGGAAUGCGCAGAUAUCAGGAGGAACACCGAUGGCGAAGGCCAGGAUC
rnacentral:rRNA from 1 species